rnacentral:rRNA from 1 species
UGGGGAAUAUUGGACAAUGGGGGGAACCCUGAUCCAGCCAUGCCGCGUGUGUGAAGAAGGCCUUAUGGUUGUAAAGCACUUUAAGCGAGGAGGAGGGUACUGGUAUUAAUACUACCAGGUACUGGACGUUACUCGCAGAAUAAGCACCGGCUAACUCUGUGCCAGCAGCCGCGGUAAUACAGAGGGUGCGAGCGUUAAUCGGAUUUACUGGGCGUAAAGCGUGCGUAGGCGGCUAAUUGAGUCGGAUGUGAAAUCCCCGGGCUUAACUUGGGAAUUGCAUUCGAUACUGGUUAGCUAGAGUAGGGCAGAGGGUGGUGGAAUUUCCUGUGUAGCGGUGAAAUGCGUAGAUAUAGGAAGGAACACCAGUGGCGAAGGCGACCACCUGGGCUCAUACUGACACUGAGGUGCGAAAGAGUGGUGAGCAAACAGG